rnacentral:lncRNA from 1 species
UCAAGUUCGGGAGGCGUUACCUGCGGAGGGUUUGAGGCAGGCCCAAGAGCGAGCCCAUGGUCUUCCGACGCGGGGCCAGGGGCGGGCCCCAGGAUCCGGAGCUUCGUGCGGGGCCGAGUCCAGGUUUGGGGCCCGGGAGGCGGGGCCAGUUAGGGCGACUGUCCCUGGGAUCGUCGGGUCAGGCCUUGGGCUAACGUAGGCACUCUCGCAGUUCCUCCGCCUUCAGGAAGGUCUUUUCAGCAGGGGCCUUACGGGUGCAUGCUUCGGUCCUGGAGGCCUUAUCCUAGCCUCCUCUCCAUCAGCGCCACCCGUCUGGGGCCCGAAAGGAGGGAGCUUUCCCUCUGUCCCCCAGCCUUUGGACUGUCACCAAACAAGCCAUUCGUUCAUCAAAUACUUUUUAAGCGCCUACCAUGUGCCUGACAAGGGAGAUGUAACGGUGAGAAAAACUAGGUGUGGUCCAGGCCCUUCAGGGGCUCAGGUGCUCGUGGAAGAAGUGGACAUUGAAGUACUUAUCACACAAAUGAGGAUAAAAGUACGAUAGCGAUAUCUACCACGAAGCUGUUGUUCCCCACCAGAACCAAAUGAGCGCAAGAUCUGACAAAGAAAAAAAAAGGUUCAUCUUUUAUUCCUCCAAACACUUUCAUUUAAAUCAAGAGGAUGGGAUGUGGUUAUUGCUGUGUUUUUAGACAGAAUCAACGGUUUCUGGGUCUGAGAUGUUGCAUACACCUUCUCAGUCCCUGUAUCCUGAGAUGGAGUCACCUGAGAAUCCACAGCAAGUCCUAACCAGGGAUGGGUCUGGGUGAUUAAGGAAGGUUGGCUUCAGAACUGGGCCAGGGGCACUGCUUUGCUUUUGCUGUUUUGAUCAGCUCUCUGCCUGAAGGAGACAAGAAAAACCAACGGGAACAGCCCAGUAAAGGCGCCAUUCCCCAUUUUACAGCUGGGGAAACUGAGUUACAGAGCUUGUCUGCACUGAGUCAUCAGGAGCAAAUGCUAGAUCAGAUAGGGUCUCUCUCUCUGCCACCCAGGCCAGAGUGCAGUUGACGCAGGGCAGGGGAGCCCCGAAGUGGAGCAUAGUGUGUCCGGAACUGGUGGGUUCUUGGUCUCACUGACUUCAAGAAAGAAGCCGCGGACCCUCGCGGUGAGUGUCACAGUUCUUAAAGGCUGCGUGUCCAGAGUUUGUUCCUUCUGAUGCUCGGAUGUG